AGCGAACGCUGGCGGCAGGCCUAACACAUGCAAGUCGAACGAACUCUUCGGAGUUAGUGGCGGACGGGUGAGUAACACGUGGGAACGUGCCUUUAGGUUCGGAAUAACUCAGGGAAACUAGUGCUAAUACCGAAUGUGCCCUUCGGGGGAAAGAUUUAUCGCCUUUAGAGCGGCCCGCGUCUGAUUAGCUAGUUGGUGAGGUAAAGGCUCACCAAGGCGACGAUCAGUAGCUGGUCUGAGAGGAUGAUCAGCCACAUUGGGACUGAGACACGGCCCAAACUCCUACGGGAGGCAGCAGUGGGGAAUCUUGCGCAAUGGGUGAAAGCCUGACGCAGCCAUGCCGCGUGAAUGAUGAAGGUCUUAGGAUGGUAAAUUCUUUCACCGGGGACGAUAAUGACGGUACCCGGAGAAGAAGCCCCGGCUAACUUCGUG
rnacentral:rRNA from 1 species